GGGGAUAGAGCUCAGUUGGUAGAGUGCUUGCCUCACAUGCACAAGGCCCUGGGUUCAAAUCCCCAGCACCACCC
rnacentral:tRNA from 1 species